rnacentral:lncRNA from 1 species
CUUGCCUCUCCUCGUAGCCUCCUCACUCUGAAGGAGUUAGGCCUCCUGGUCUGGUCUGGUCUGGUCUGGUCUGCGAUGAGUCGACGGAAAGGGAAGGAAGGGUGGCCUGGUUUGCGAUGAGUCGACAGAAAGGGAAGGAAGGGUGGCCUGUACCAAGCCAGAUUCAGGGAGCUCCUCCCUGCCUGGGUGUGUCUGUUUCAAGCAGGGACAAGCCUGGAGGGAUCUGGGUGAAUGGCGCUUAGGGCAAGAAUUGGGAACAAAGAAAAAUACUGGUUUGGCUUGGAACACCAUAUCCACUGAGAGUCAGAAGUCCUGGGAUAAUACUGUAUCUUGAGAAGUGACAUGGUAUAAUGAUAUCUUCGAGAGCUAAGGAGUAUGGAUUGAAGGAAAUCUAAUUAAGAUUGACAACUGGUUGGGAAGCCUGUUAACAGAGCUUCAGGACGGACAUAAUGAAAUGCAACAAACCUGAACUGCUGCUGAAGAAUUCCCAACAAGACUCAAUAGCCUGGAAUGUUGACCCACUACAAGGAGAUGGACUUCCUGGGAAACAUUAGAUUGUUGGAUACAUUCAUGGACAGGAAUCAAUCUUUCAUUAAAUCUCUCUUUUUUUUGUCACAGUGCAAUCUGCCUGAUUUAAAAUAAAAAAGAUACAGACAAUGUUUGAGAUAAGAGGAACAUGAAGAUAAGAAAGAAUAAGUUAGAGAGAUAUUAUCAUAUGAGGGUUAAAUUGCCAAGAAUUGUGAGGAAUAGGUGGAGAAGAUGGAAUUGAGCCAGUAGACACACAAUGAUCACAAAAUAAGUGACAUAAAUUAUAUAGAUAAUUGCUGAAAUAUGGCAGGGUUUUUUUUUUAAUUUAUUUAGAAAAAUACAAGCCUUUGUUCCAUUUCUGUCUGAUAUUGACUUGAGUCCCAAAACUUCUCCCCAGAUAGUCUAUUUUGAAAAUAUAAUUUUUCUGAAGGCUUGUGCACUACAUUUCCAGUUUGAAAAUCUUCAUCAUACAUACUUGGGAUAAGUUAGUUCUGUUUGCUAAAACUUUGUGAUUAAUAGUCACAUGGCUGAAGUGUGGCACAGUCAUGAACAGAGGUAUGAAGAGAGCCUGGUUUGCAUUUACCUCCCUGUUCUGCUUAAAUGGGUCCCUUAUGAAGAGUUUUACAGGUAGAAUCUUUUUGUUUGUUUGUUUUUGUUUUUUAUAUUUACUCCUAGGUUUGAGUAUUUUUGUUUACCCGUUUGUUUCUUAUGAAUAAUUCUGGCAGUUUGUACAGUAAGUCCAUGUUGUCCAAAAAGAGGUGAUACCUUGGGAGGAGAGGUAAGGAAAGAAUUAGAGUUGGAAUGAGGGGGUGUCACAAGACAUAAUGAAUGCUUUCAAUAUCUUCAUCAUGGUGGUUUCUGGCGGUCCACACUGAUCCAUUUGCCUCCAUUUCCUCUGUGUCUCCAUCUUCAUUUGCUCUAAGUGUGAUAAUGUCUUCGUCCAAUUUUUUCUCUAAAGGUACCAGUGAUUCUUAAUUUUGACCACCCUAAUGAUCUCAAUUUGAUUACUGCUAUAAAGCCCCAUUUCCAAAGAAAGUCAGAGUCACUGAAGGCUAGAUUUUAACAAAUUCCCUUUUUCUAGAUCAUAACCAGGAAACAAAAAGUAUACAGCUUGUUCAAGAGGUAGUGUAGAUGCUUAUUAAGAAAAGAAAAGCUAUAUAAGAAUGUUCUGAAACUUACCUGUUUAGUUAGUGUUCAAUUGCUAUGAAAAGGCACCAUGACCAAGGCAACUUAUAAAAGACAGCAUUUCACGGGGGCUUUGUAACAGUUUCAGAGGGUUAGUCCCUUAUUUUGGCCGGAAGCAUGCAGGCCUGGUGCUGGAGCAAUAGCUAACAGCUUUGUAUACUGCUGCACAGGCAGCAGGCAGAGAGACUGGACCUGGCAUGGGUUUUUGAAACCUAAAAACCCACCCCAAUGACACACCUCCUCUGACAAGGCCAUACCUCCUAAUACUUCCCAAGCAGUUCCACAAAUUAGGGUGCAAACAUUCAAACAUGGACCUACGGGGGCCCUUCUGAUUCAAACAACUACCCUUAGCAUCUGACAUUGCCCAGAGAAUAUUGUGGAUUAACUGUGUGUGCCACUGAUGUAACAACAAUGUCAAUGUAACUUGCAGUUUGAUUUGCAUGGCCAGAAUCCAUUAAUUGGUGUGACAUGUCAUCAUGCAAUUAGGAAAUUUUAUAUUAAUGUCAAAAAUCGUGCUGUAGCAAAUUAAUAUAAUUAUAUUGGUAGAAAUUACAGGUGCACUGUGUGUCUCAAUAGCUGAGUGGAUUUAUAUACAGGCUUCAGCGUAUGUGAUGCACAUUGGUCAUUAUAUGUUGACCCUGGCUCAUAAGGUAGUUGAGCUUUAAUAUGAUCUUGCUUAGUGCUAUAGGUAAAUUAUUCCCUGCCUUUUAAGGUUUUAAUUUGAGACUUAACUGUGGGGAGGGAAAGACAUGAGAAUAUACAUUAGACAGUUGUUUCCUCACUUUGAAUACCUCUGGGUUUAAAUUGUGUUACUGUUUCAUUCUCUGCCUGUAAUCCUAGAUUGAUAACCUAAUUAGUGUACCAGAAACACGGUCAUGAAAACAUGUCCUCCAGGAGGAACAAACGAACUCCUCUGCAUUUAAUUUCAAAUUCUUCCCUGUCAGUACAGCUCGGGUUUCGAAGAACACCUGACACUGUAUGAUCAAUGAUCCUGAUCAAGCAUCCUGUCAGAGAGAGGCACAAAAUUGAUUAAAGGAUGUCUCACUUCUUUCAGAAUUCAAGCGCUUGUAGGGAAAAGGCUAAAAUAAUUCAGAUAUACUAUAAUCCUGAUCAAAGAACCACAUAUUUGGAGGGUAUCACUUCUCUCCAUUUCUCAGAGUGAUUCCAGGUUUUGAGUUCAAUCGCCUAAAAUAUGUGAAGACCAUUUAAUAUGUGAAGGCGGAUGUUGUAGAAUUCAUUGGAUAUGCCAAAACCUUUGGGUAAUUUAAACUUAAAAUAAUGUGUACCCUCAGGAUGGCAUCAAUAUACAUGCUAAUUCAGAUGGGAAAUUUAGGACACCUCAACCCUAGACAGUGGGGAUGUUGUGAGUUGGAGAAAUAUCAUCUUCCCCAGGGAAGCACACACAGAUUGGAUAUCCAAAACCAAAUCAUCAGUCCUGAGAUCAUACACACAAGUCACAUGGACAAAGCAGUUUGCAUUUAUGUAUUUAUUUACAUGUAUGGACACAUACACAAGCACAAUUAAAUUUUAAAAAGCCAUGAAUUUGGAAGAAAGCAAAAGCAGUGAAAUACAUGCAAAUAUUGGAGCAAAGAAAAGAAAGUGGGAAAUGAUGUAACUAAUCUCAAAGAUUGAAAAGAAAGUAUUUAGAAAGUGAGGCUAAUUUGUUAUAGGACCUAAUGCGGGCUUUCGAAUUCUGUGAUUUUAAUGCUUUCAGAUCGCUCAGCCUGCUGUGCAUCCAGUGAAUCAUCUACUAUGCCACUGAAAUUGCAGCCUGCUCCUGAAUGUGCAGGUGCAUGGCUUAAUUGAGAUCAAUGACUGUGGGGUGUUCUGGAAGUUCUGUGAAUAACUAUGAGUAAAAUGGAGUAAGAUGUAAGACUAAGUACAAAAAUAGCCCAAGGAAAACUUAAGUCACACAGGGCUCAGGGAAACUAGAAAUAUAAGGAGCCUGAACUUGAUUUAGGGAUUGUCCAAUAUUGUCAUGUAGUAACACAGAAAUGUAAUCAUAAUUUUACACUCAAUAUCUGGUAGGCAUUGUGGUAAAGGUUGGGGUGGUAGAUCUUUAAUUAAAACUGUUGAGUUUAUGAGUGUUUCUUGUGUUGAAAUGAGGA